rnacentral:rRNA from 1 species
GACGAAGGGGGCUAGCGUUGUUCGGAAUUACUGGGCGUAAAGAGCUCGUAGGCGGUUUGUCGCGUCUGCUGUGAAAACUCGGGGCUUAACCCCGGGCCUGCAGUGGGUACGGGCAGACUAGAGUGCGGUAGGGGAGACUGGAAUUCCUGGUGUAGCGGUGAAAUGCGCAGAUAUCAGGAGGAACACCGGUGGCGAAGGCGGGUCUCUGGGCCGUAACUGACGCUGAGGAGCGAAAGCGUGGGGAGCGAACAGG